rnacentral:misc_RNA from 1 species
GAUGAAGAACGCAGCGAAAUGCGAUAAGUAAUGUGAAUUGCAGAAUUCAGUGAAUCAUCGAAUCUUUGAACGCUCAUUGCGCCCGCCAGUAUUCUGGCGGGCAUGCCUGUUCGAGCGUCAUUUCAACCAUCAAGCCCCAGGCUUGUGUUGGAGCCCUGCGGCUGCCGCAGCCUCCCAAAACCAGUGGCGGGCUCGCUAUCACACCGAGUGCAGUAGUUUACUCUUCGCUCAGGGCGUGUGGCGGGUGCUAGCCGUAAAACCCCCAACUUCUCAAGGUUGACCUCGGAUCAGGUAGGAAUACCCGCUGAACUUAAGCAUAUCAAUAAGCGGAGGA